GAUGUGGUCUUUUGACCCCCUACAUCAGCAUCAUGGAAGAACGUGGAUUCCCAGGUCUUGACUAGGUCUCUCCAAUCAGAAUUACAAUGGAGCUGAGAUUCUGCCUGCUUAACAAGUUCCCCAGGUUGGAGAGAAGCCUGGCCCUGGCCAUCAGGAAUCUGAUGCUGACCUUGGCUGUCCUUACCUAUUGGGCAGAUGUACACUGGGCCAAUGUCCUGGACCCAGCACAGAAAUUACAGCCUACUUGUGGAAGCCCGCAGCAGGCCAGAAAGGCUCCUGUCCAAGGCCAAACCAUCUUGCCAUUGUAUUAUUGCUCCAAACAGGAAGGGGCCUCUCCGAUUCUGACGGAAAAGCAGGCCAAGCAGCUCCUGAGAUCCCGACGGCAGGACAGGCCGAGCAAACCCGGGUUCCCUGACGAGCCCAUGCGGGAUGUCUAGAGGGCUUCCCCCUUUGGGAAGGCUGGUUCGCAGGGCUCCGAAGGAGCUGCUCCCGUCCAAGUGGUCAGGAGACAGGCUCUAAUCAACAGCGGAGUUGGCCACUGGGCAUUUUCUCUGCCAGCAUCUGCCCCUGGCUCCUCUGAGCUCUGACUUCACAGGGGCUGAAGGGUUUUAGGCCCUGGGCAACAGGAGUACAUGCAUCAUCUGCUCCGCCUGGAGCACCGGGCCGAGGAGCAGUUCCUGGAGCACUGGCUGAACCCUCACUGCAAGCCCCACUGUGACAGGAACAUGGUCCAUCCCGUGUGAGGGUCUCAGGACCAGCCACUGCAAGCAUUUUCACAAGCACCCACCUGGCUACUGUCGAAACGGGAAGAGGCUCCUUCUUUCGUUUGUUUUUCAGUUGCGGAAAUGGAUGGAUUCAGACCUUGUGAGCUGUGGGCACAGCAGAGGUUGCUUUGGGGAUUGAUGGCAAAUAUAUACACGCUGCUUCAUUUUA